rnacentral:rRNA from 1 species
CCAGCCAUAAACGAUGGAUACUAGGUGUGGGGGGAUCGACCCCUUCCGUGCCGCAGUUAACGCAAUAAGUAUCCCACCUGGGGAGUACGGCCGCAAGGCUGAAACUCAAAGGAAUUGACGGGGGCCCGCACAAGCGGUGGAGCAUGUGGUUUAAUUCGAUGCAACGCGAAGAACCUUACCGGGAUUUGACAUCCCCUGCGAUCUUUCGAAAGAAGGAGUUCUCUUCGGAGACAGGGAGACAGGUGG